rnacentral:rRNA from 1 species
CACGUAGGGGCCAAGCGUUGUCCGGAUUCAUUGGGCGUAAAGAGCUCGUAGGCGGUUCAGUCAGUCGGGUGUGAAAUCUCCGGGCUCAACUCGGAGGGGCCACCCGAUACUGCUGUGGACUCGAGUCCGGUAGGGGAGUGGGGAAUUCCUGGUGUAGCGGUGAAAUGCGCAGAUAUCAGGAGGAACACCGGUGGCGAAGGCGGUUCUCUGGGAAUGUCCUGACGCUGAGGAGCGAAAGUGUGGGGAGCGAACAGG